rnacentral:rRNA from 1 species
UACGUAGGGGGCAAGCGUUAUCCGGAUUUACUGGGUGUAAAGGGAGCGUAGGUGGCAUGGUAAGCCAGAAGUGAAAACCCGGGGCUCAACCCCGCGGAUUGCUUUUGGAACUAUCAGGCUGGAGUGCUGGAGGGGUAAGCGGAAUUCCUAGUGUAGCGGUGAAAUGCGUAGAUAUUAGGAGGAACACCGGUGGCGAAGGCGGCUUACUGGGCAGAAACUGACACUGAGGCUCGAAAGCGUGGGGAGCAAACAGG